rnacentral:lncRNA from 1 species
CGCUGCUUAAGUCCAGCGCCUCCAGGCGCGUCCAAUAAACUCGAGGGAGUCGCGCUUCCUAGGCCCCACCUCCGCACGCUUCCUCGGCCCCGCCUCCGCACGCUUCCUCCGCCAUCUUACUCUGGGGUCUUCCGCUGUUGGAGCUGUGGUGCGGAAAUGCGGCUGCGGCAGCCCCUGCCUAACCUUGGCCUGGGACCCCUCCCCAGGCUCCUGCGUGCUUCGAGGCCCCCCAGCCAUAUCUCUCUCGGCUGAGCCAGGAGGCGAGCACAGAGGAGAGAGUGAGUCAUGGUGGCAUCACUUGGCACCUCCCUGGGAAGGACGUCCCAGGGUGCCACGCCUCGGUUCUUUUUUGGGGAGUCGAAGGCCAGCGGCGGUGAAACCCGUCCCCUCCCAGCCAUCAGCUGACCGGAGACGGGAGCUGCAGAGAGAGGGGAAUGCACGCUGUUCGAGUAUUUUUAAGUGUGCGUGGUGAGAGGCUUUGUGUCCACUUCUUCCCCACGUGCAUCCUGCUCACUUCCAUUGCUGGGGCCCCGGGACCUGUACUGUGCACAUCUGCUCUGCUCUGCUCACAGCGCACCCCAUGGGCCAUAAGAUUUCACUCUUAAAAGGUAAGUGUAAGGGUAAAAUACUCCAUAGUUAAGAAUUUCAAGGUGGCAACAGCGUUGACAGAAGCACGAGAGCUCAGGUACAAGGCUCAUGUGUUAGACAAGCUGCUGUGUGGGCUUCAAGACACUCCAUGUAGAGGGUGGGGUGGGGGUGGUCAGGGAGGUUCUGAGACACUCAGCUCACCCGGUUCCUGCACAGCCAACUCCAGGCUCUAUUCUUGGCAGGGUGGGUGACAGUCGGCACUGCCUGCCUGUGUGGAGGGGCUCAGAGGCUGCCCAGCUCAGCAGGAAUGGCAGUGAGGGGAAGGAAGGGCACCCUCCCUUAGCAUUCCUGACUUCACACCUCCUUGU